AGAGUUUGAUCCUGGCUCAGGACGAACGCUGGCGGUGUGCUUCACACAUGCAAGUCGAGCGAAUGAAGAAGGUAGCUUGCUACUUUUGGAUUUAGCGGCGGACGGGUGAGUAAUAUAUAGGAAUCUGCCCUAGAGCGGGGAACAACAGACCGAAAGGUUUGCUAAUGCCCCAUAGGUACGCAGUCUUCGGAUUGUUUAUUAAAGGAGUAAUCCACUCUAGGAUGAGCCUGUAUCCGAUUAGCUAGUUGGCGGGGUAAAGGCCCACCAAGGCUACGAUCGGUAGUUGGUCUGAGAGGAUGAUCAGCCACAAUGGGACUGAGACACGUCCCAUACUCCUACGGGAGGCAGCAGUGGGGAAUUUUACACAAUGGGGGAAACCCUGAUGUAGCGACACCGCGUGAACGAAGAAGCCUUUUGGGGUGUAAAGUUCUGUCGGCUGGAACGAAAAAAAUGACGGUACCAGCAAAGGAAGCAUCGGCUAACUACGUGCCAGCAGCCGCGGUAAGACGUAGGAUGCAAGCGUUGUCCGGAUUUAUUGGGCGUAAAGAGUUCGUAGGCGGUUAUUUAAGUCUGGUGUUAAAUACUGUGGCCCAACCACAGAACUGCAUUGGAUACUGGAUGACUUGAGUGCGGUAGAGGCGAGUGGAAUUCCCAGUGUAGCGGUGAAAUGCGUA
rnacentral:rRNA from 1 species